ACCAACAUUUGACUGUCUGUCUUAUAUAAAAUUUUUUUAUAUUUAGUCUUUUCAAUGUUGUUAGAUGAUAAAACAUAAUUAAUACUUUAUAUGUGACUUAUCUUUUUAAUUUUUUUUAUAAUUUAUUUAAAUAAGAUGAACGGUCAAACAUUGGACAC
rnacentral:pre_miRNA from 1 species